UACAGAGGUGGCAAGCGUUGUUCGGAAUUACUGGGCGUAAAGGGCGAGUAGGUGGCCAUCUAAGUCAGACGUGAAAUCCCUCAGCUUAACUGGGGAACUGCGUCUGAUACUGGAUGGCUCGAGUGUGGGAGAGGAAUGCGGAAUUCCAGGUGUAGCGGUGAAAUGCGUAGAUAUCUGGAGGAACACCGGUGGCGAAGGCGGCAUUCUGGACCAUAACUGACACUGAGAGACGAAAGCCAGGGGAGCAAACGGG
rnacentral:rRNA from 1 species